GGCGCGUUUGAUAGGGCAUAUACUGCGUGAUUAAAAUAGGUAACUCGCGUAAUCCAUGUGUUUGAUAGCUGACUUAAUUAAUAGUUGCGGCCCGAAAAUUGACCAAGGCCCGCACCAAAUCACUGUUACACUUCGAAACCACAACUCACGCUCACCCCCAGUUACGUUUUCUCACCCUCAACAGUGACAUUCAUUAUUUUUUAAGAUUACAAGUUUGCCCUUGGAAGAUUCUGCAUUUCCUUUAGUCCCGCACAAAUACGAAGGUUCUAGUGUUGACUUCUUCAUCUCCCCCAUCUGGAGUCCAUUACAAGUAAUUGCAGCUGUGGUUUUUUUUGGCACCAGCAAACAAAUGUCUGCUCAUAAGGGCAUUUGAAGACAACAUCAAUAGCAAUACUCAACAUCAAGCCCACAGAUGCACUGACACCAAUAAUUGGGGAGUUGAUUGAUUCGUGUUAUAUUGAGAUCAACAAUUGGGGCUAUAAUGGUGGUUUUCUCGUGAGGACGGGAUACAUGAAUUUGGGGGCGGGCGGCGUUGGAGUGAAGGAGAUGGGUGGCGCUGAGCCGGUAGGGUUGUUGGUGAUGGGAGGUGUUAAAAUGAAAACGUGAAUUUUUCGAAGGGGGUUGGGGGGUGGCGGCGAUGCGCGUUGGAGGGAGGAGCGACGCUGUGCCGAUUCUUUUGGCGGUGGGACGGGCGGCGCUAGAGGGAGGGAGGCGGCCCCGAUUAGGUGGGGGACGGGGGGUUGAAGAUGAAGACCAAAAUAAAAGAAAUCUGUAGCAAAAUUGGGGGAUUCAAUU
rnacentral:lncRNA from 1 species